rnacentral:rRNA from 1 species
UUAAGCGACUAAGCGUACACGGUGGAUGCCCUGGCAGUCAGAGGCGAUGAAGGACGUGCUAAUCUGCGAAAAGCGUCGGUAAGGUGAUAUGAACCGUUAUAGCCGGCGAUGUCCGAAUGGGGAAACCCAGUGCAAUUCGUUGCACUAUCGUUAACUGAAUACAUAGGUUAACGAGGCGAACCGGGGGAACUGAAACAUCUAAGUACCCCGAGGAAAAGAAAUCAACCGAGAUUCCCCCAGUAGCGGCGAGCGAACGGGGAGCAGCCCAGAGUCUGAAUCAGCUUGUGUGUUAGUGGAACGGUCUGGAAAGUCCGACGGUACAGGGUGAUAGUCCCGUACACCAAAAUGCACAGGUUGUGAACUCGAAGAGUAGGGCGGGACACGUGGUAUCCUGUCUGAAUAUGGGGGGACCAUCCUCCAAGGCUAAAUACUCCUGACUGACCGAUAGUGAACCAGUACCGUGAGGGAAAGGCGAAAAGAACCCCGGCGAGGGGAGUGAAAAAGAACCUGAAACCGUGUACGUACAAGCAGUGGGAGCCUCUUUAUGGGGUGACUGCGUACCUUUUGUAUAAUGGGUCAGCGACUUAUAUUCUGUAGCAAGGUUAACCGUAUAGGGGAGCCGCAGGGAAACCGAGUCUUAACUGGGCGUUAAGUUGCAGGGUAUAGACCCGAAACCCGGUGAUCUAGCCAUGGGCAGGUUGAAGGUUGGGUAACACUAACUGGAGGACCGAACCGACUAAUGUUGAAAAAUUAGCGGAUGACUUGUGGCUGGGGGUGAAAGGCCAAUCAAACCGGGAGAUAGCUGGUUCUCCCCGAAAGCUAUUUAGGUAGCGCCUCGUGAAUUCAUCUUCGGGGGUAGAGCACUGUUUCGGCUAGGGGGUCAUCCCGACUUACCAACCCGAUGCAAACUACGAAUACCGAAGAAUGUUAUCACGGGAGACACACGGCGGGUGCUAACGUCCGUCGUGAAGAGGGAAACAACCCAGACCGCCAGCUAAGGUCCCAAAGUCAUGGUUAAGUGGGAAACGAUGUGGGAAGGCACAGACAGCCAGGAUGUUGGCUUAGAAGCAGCCAUCAUUUAAAGAAAGCGUAAUAGCUCACUGGUCGAGUCGGCCUGCGCGGAAGAUGUAACGGGGCUAAACCAUGCACCGAAGCUGCGGCAGCGACACUUAUGUGUUGUUGGGUAGGGGAGCGUUCUGUAAGCCUGCGAAGGUGGCCUGUGAGGGCUGCUGGAGGUAUCAGAAGUGCGAAUGCUGACAUAAGUAACGAUAAAGCGGGUGAAAAGCCCGCUCGCCGGAAGACCAAGGGUUCCUGUCCAACGUUAAUCGGGGCAGGGUGAGUCGACCCCUAAGGCGAGGCCGAAAGGCGUAGUCGAUGGGAAACAGGUUAAUAUUCCUGUACUUGGUGUUACUGCGAAGGGGGGACGGAGAAGGCUAUGUUAGCCGGGCGACGGUUGUCCCGGUUUAAGCAUGUAGGCGGAGGUUCCAGGUAAAUCCGGUACCUUUUAACGCUGAGGUGUGAUGACGAGGCACUACGGUGCUGAAGUAACAAAUGCCCUGCUUCCAGGAAAAGCCUCUAAGCAUCAGGUAACAUUAAAUCGUACCCCAAACCGACACAGGUGGUCAGGUAGAGAAUACCAAGGCGCUUGAGAGAACUCGGGUGAAGGAACUAGGCAAAAUGGUGCCGUAACUUCGGGAGAAGGCACGCUGAUAUGUAGGUGAAGCCCCUGCGGGUGGAGCUGAAAUCAGUCGAAGAUACCAGCUGGCUGCAACUGUUUAUUAAAAACACAGCACUGUGCAAACACGAAAGUGGACGUAUACGGUGUGACGCCUGCCCGGUGCCGGAAGGUUAAUUGAUGGGGUUAUCCGUAAGGAGAAGCUCUUGAUCGAAGCCCCGGUAAACGGCGGCCGUAACUAUAACGGUCCUAAGGUAGCGAAAUUCCUUGUCGGGUAAGUUCCGACCUGCACGAAUGGCGUAAUGAUGGCCAGGCUGUCUCCACCCGAGACUCAGUGAAAUUGAACUCGCUGUGAAGAUGCAGUGUACCCGCGGCAAGACGGAAAGACCCCGUGAACCUUUACUAUAGCUUGACACUGAACAUUGAGCCUUGAUGUGUAGGAUAGGUGGGAGGCUUUGAAGCGUGGACGCCAGUCUGCGUGGAGCCAACCUUGAAAUACCACCCUUUAAUGUUUGAUGUUCUAACGUAGACCCCUAAUCGGGGUUGCGGACAGUGUCUGGUGGGUAGUUUGACUGGGGCGGUCUCCUCCCAAAGAGUAACGGAGGAGCACGAAGGUUAGCUAAUCCUGGUCGGACAUCAGGAGGUUAGUGCAAUGGCAUAAGCUAGCUUGACUGCGAGCGUGACGGCGCGAGCAGGUGCGAAAGCAGGUCAUAGUGAUCCGGUGGUUCUGAAUGGAAGGGCCAUCGCUCAACGGAUAAAAGGUACUCCGGGGAUAACAGGCUGAUACCGCCCAAGAGUUCAUAUCGACGGCGGUGUUUGGCACCUCGAUGUCGGCUCAUCACAUCCUGGGGCUGAAGUAGGUCCCAAGGGUAUGGCUGUUCGCCAUUUAAAGUGGUACGCGAGCUGGGUUUAGAACGUCGUGAGACAGUUCGGUCCCUAUCUGCCGUGGGCGCUGGAGAAUUGAGGGGGGCUGCUCCUAGUACGAGAGGACCGGAGUGGACGCAUCACUGGUGUUCGGGUUGUCAUGCCAAUGGCAUUGCCCGGUAGCUAAAUGCGGAAGAGAUAAGUGCUGAAAGCAUCUAAGCACGAAACUUGCCCCGAGAUGAGUUCUCCCUGAGACUUUAAGUCUCCUGAAGGAACGUUGAAGACGACGACGUUGAUAGGCCGGGUGUGUAAGCGCAGCGAUGCGUUGAGCUAACCGGUACUAAUGAACCGUGAGGCUUAACCU